rnacentral:rRNA from 1 species
UUAAGUCCCGUCAACGAGACCGCAACCCCUAUUGUUAGUUGCCAUCAUUCAGUUGGGCACUCUAGCGAGACUGCCGGUAAUAAACCGGAGGAAGGUGGGGAUGACGUCAAAUCAUCAUGCCCCUUAUGACCUGGGCUACACACGUGCUACAAUGGUUGGUACAACGAGUUGCGAGUCGGUGGCGGCGAGCUAAUCUCUUAAAGCCAAUCUCAGUUCGGAUUGUAGGCUGCAACUCGCCUACAUGAAGUCGGAAUCGCUAGUAAUCGCGGAUCAGCACGCCGCGGUGAAUACGUUCCCGGGCCUU